UACGUAGGGUGCGAGCGUUGUCCGGAAUUAUUGGGCGUAAAGAGCUUGUAGGCGGUUUGUCGUGUCUGCCGUGAAAGCCCAGGGCUUAACCCUGGGUCUGCGGUGGGUACGGGCAGACUAGAGUGUGGUAGGGGAGACUGGAAUUCCUGGUGUAGCGGUGAAAUGCGCAGAUAUCAGGAGGAACACCGAUGGCGAAGGCAGGUCUCUGGGCCACUACUGACGCUGAGAAGCGAAAGCAUGGGGAGCAAACAGG
rnacentral:rRNA from 1 species